AAUAUCUGCCCUAUCAACUUUCGAUGGUUAGGAUAAAGGCCUACCAUGGGGUUGACGGGUAACGGGGAAUAAGGGUUCGAUUCCGGAGAGGGAGCCUGAGAAACGGCUACCACAUCCACGGAAGGCAGCAGGCGCGCAAAUUACCCAAUCCCGACACGGGGAGGUAGUGACAAUAAAUAACAAUAUAGGGCCCUUUUGGGUCUUAUAAUUGGAAUGAGUACAAUUUAAAUCCGUUAACGAGGAACAAUUGGAGGGCAAGUCUGGUGCCAGCAGCCGCGGUGAUUCCAGCUCCAAUAGCGUAUAUUAAAGUUGUUGCAGUUAAAAAGCUCGUAGUUGAACUUCAGACCUGACCGGGCGGUCCGCCUAACGGUGUGUACUGUCUGGCCGGGCCUUACCUCUUGGUGAGCCGGCAUGCCCUUCACUGGGUGUGUCGGGGAACCAGGACCUUUACCUUGAGAAAAUUAGAGUGUUCAAAGCAGGCUUACGCCGGAAUACAUUAGCAUGGAAUAAUAAAAUAGGACGUGCGGUUCUAUUUGGUGGUUUCUAGAGUCGCGUAAUGAUUAAUAGGGAU
rnacentral:rRNA from 1 species